CUACGGGAUGCUCCAGUGAGGAAUAUUGCACAAUGGGGGGAACCCUGAUGCAGCAACGCCGCGUGGAGGAUGACGCAUUUCGGUGUGUAAACUCCUUUUAUAUGUCAAGAAAAUGACGGUAGCAUAUGAAUAAGCACCGGCUAACUCCGUGCCAGCAGCCGCGGUAAUAGGGAGGGUGCAAGCGUUACUCGGAAUCACUGGGCGUAAAGGACGCGUAGGCGGGUUGGAAAGUCAGGUGUGAAAUCCUACAGCUUAACUGUAGAACUGCACUUGAAACUUCUAAUCUAGAGUAUGGGAGGGGGAGAUGGAAUUAGUGGUGUAGGGGUAAAAUCCGUAGAUAUCACUAGGAAUACCUAAAGCGAAAGCGAUCUCCUGGAACAUUACUGACGCUAAGGCGUGAAAGCGUGGGGAGCAAACAGGAUUGAUACCCCCGUAGUC
rnacentral:rRNA from 1 species